rnacentral:misc_RNA from 1 species
GAUGAAGAACGUAGCGAAAUGCGAUACGUAAUGUGAAUUGCAGAAUUCAGUGAAUCAUCGAAUCUUUGAACGCACCUUGCGCCCUUUGGCCAUUCCGAAGGGCAUGCCUGUUUGAGUAUCAUGAACACCUCAACUCUUUAUGGUUUUCCAUGAUGAGCUUGGACUCUGGGGGUUUUGCUGGCUCACAGUCGGCUCCUCUAAAAUGAAUCAGCUUACCAGUGUUUGGUGGGUAUCAUGGGUGUGAUAACUAUCUACGCUUGUGGUUUUUCCACCAGGUAACCUUCAGCAGUGGAGGUUCGCUGGAGCUCAUAGAUGUCUCUCCUCAGUGAGGACAGCCCUUUGAAUGUUUGAUCUCAAAUCAGGUAGGACUACCCGCUGAACCUAAGCAUAUCAAUAAGCGGAGGA